GAUGAAGAACGCAGCGAAAUGCGAUACGUAAUGUGAAUUGCAGAAUUCAGUGAAUCAUCGAGUCUUUGAACGCACAUUGCGCCCCCUGGUAUUCCGGGGGGCAUGCCUGUCCGAGCGUCAUUGCUGCCCUCAAGCACGGCUUGUGUGUUGGGCCUCCGUCCUCCUCCCGGGGGACGGGCCCGAAAGGCAGCGGCGGCACCGCGUCCGGUCCUCGAGCGUAUGGGGCUUCGUCACCCGCUCUUGUAGGCCCGGCCGGCGCUUGCCGACACAUCAAUCUUUUUUCCAGGUUGACCUCGGAUCAGGUAGGGAUACCCGCUGAACUUAAGCAUAUCAAUAAGCGGAGUA
rnacentral:misc_RNA from 1 species